rnacentral:tRNA from 2 species
GCGCCCGUAGCUCAGUUGGAUAGAGUGCUGCCCUCCGAAGGCAGAGGCCAGAGGUUCGAAUCCUCUCGGGCGCACCA